rnacentral:tRNA from 1 species
GGGCGCUUAGCUCAGUUGGUAGAGCAGCUGACUCUUAAUCAGCGGGUCGCAGGUUCGAGCCCUGCAGCGCCCACCA